rnacentral:rRNA from 1 species
GAUGAACGCUGGCGGCGUGCCUAAUACAUGCAAGUCGAGCGAACGGAGGAGGAGCUUGCUCCUCGGAUGGUAGCGGCGGACGGGGGAGUAACACGUGGAUAACCUACCUAUAAGACGGGGAUAACUUCGGGAAACCGGAGCUAAUACCGGAGGAUAUAUUGAACAGCAUGGUGCAAAAGUGAAAGACGGUGGGGCGGUCACUUAUAGAUGGAUCCGCGCUGCAUUAGCUAGUUGGUAAGGUAACGGCUUACCAAGGCAACGAUGCUUAGCCGACCUGAGAGGGUGAUCGGCCACCCUGGACCUGAGACACGGUCCAGACUCCUACGGGAGGCAGCAGUAGGGAAUCUUCCGCAAUGGGCGAAAGCCUGACGCAGCAACGCCGCGUGAGUGAUGAAGGUCUUCGGAUCGUAAAACUCUGUUAUUAGGGAAGAACAUAUGUGUAAGUAACUAUGCACAUCUUGACGGUACCUAAUCAGAAAGCCCCGGCUAACUACGUG